rnacentral:lncRNA from 1 species
CCUGGAUGCAACAAAAGCAGAAAGAGGAAGCCCAUCAGCACACGGUCUCUGCUUUCCCUCUGCUUCCUGUCAGCCAUGAAGUGCAACUUUGCUCUGCUGUGGCCUUCUGUGUGGCGUUUUGCCUUACAUCAGCACCAAAGCAGUGGAAUCAGCCAACCAUGAACUGAAACCAUGAGCCCAGAUGAAUCGUUCCUUGUCUGUCUUGAUUCAGGGACUUGGAGGCCACUUUUGCUGGAAACAUUGACUUCACUUUGGCCUGAAGAUGUCUCAUAGUGUGACUGGACCGGGAUUGUGUCCCUCUCUUUUGCCACCUUAACCUUUAGCUGCCAUGAUUGGAAACAUCAGACCCUAAGAAGAGUGAAAAGGGUUGGUACCCAAGUUCCUGGAUGAUCUUUACCUGUGCUGAGAAAAGAUGGGAAUAUUCCUCCCCUUUAUUAGCCUAUGGCUCUCCUUCAUUAUUCCUGUCCUGUGUCUCUAACUCCUCAACCCCUCUGGGCUUGAGAAGUUGAUUUGCAACUAAAGCUCCCAGUUCUCCCUUCUUUGUCCAUUGAAUAAAACCUUUCUUUCUCC